rnacentral:rRNA from 1 species
GAGUUUGAUCGUGGCUCAGAUUGAACGCUGGCGGCAUGCCUUACACAUGCAAGUCGAACGGCAGCAUGAUCUAGCUUGCUAGAUUGAUGGCGAGUGGCGAACGGGUGAGUAAUACAUCGGAACGUGCCCUGUAGUGGGGAGUAACUAGUCGAAGAAUUAGUCUAAUUAACCGCCAUACGACCUCGAGGGUGGAAAGUAGGGGGACCGGCGAAGGCCGUCAUGCUAUAGGAGCGGCC